rnacentral:tRNA from 1 species
GGUAAGGUGGCCGAACACAAGCGAAAGACUGUAAAUCUUUUCAUGGAACUUAAAUCCCCUUAUCU